rnacentral:sRNA from 1 species
ACUAAUACUCGGAGGUAAGGGAGACAUGAACAGCUAAGUCUAUCAAAUAAAGAACCUUUAUUUAGUAGAUCUUGUUUUUGUCUCUUUUUGUGUGCUCUUUUAUGCUCUUUUUCUGGCAUGUUAAUAGAGUUUUUUUUGACAUAGACUUUGGGCUCUACUAGGUAAAGUAGAGCUUUUU